rfam:Picea glauca, whole genome shotgun sequence.
UCUUAUGUACAUGCCUACAACGGAAAUGCACUAGAUCCCAUCAAAGAUCUGUUUUUAAUCAUGCUUGGGCUAGAUUGGUACUGGGAUGGGUGACCUCCUGGGAAGUCCUAGUGUUUUACAUGCC